GAUAAAUCACAUAUUAAUAGUAUCUAUAGUGAUAAUUCAGUUUAGAAUCAUUCCUUUAAUAUCUAGAGCUAUUUGGCUACAGGAUUUAAACAUUACCUUCAAAUUAAAAUGUACAAAAUUGAAUUCAAGUUUAUACAUAUUUUUGCUGCAGAUAAUUAUGAUCAAUGAAAGGGUUUUAGGCGUAAAAUGUAUCACAUUAACAAAAUUAUGUGAAGAAAGUAGAGUGGAAAUACCAGUUUAAGGAGUAAAUGAAAUAAUUUUUGCUUACUAAAGAUGAGCUUGUAGGUGUGUAUUAAAAUGAAUUAUGGUAGAUAUCAAAUUGCUGUGCUAUUAGAUUGUCCUGGAAACAGUGAAGAAGUCAUAUUAGGAUUUUAUUUUUAAAAUUUCCUAUUUCUGAUUCACCAGACAUUAUAUCCUUUGCAACGAUUUAAGUUGAUGAAGAAAUGGUUUAUAUGUUAACUUCAGCACAUGUGAAGAGACAUAUAGUGGUUUUUGUUUUUUUGUCAAAUGAUAGCGUCACUGUGCAUUUUGAAAGAUGCACAAAUGAAUAAUUUGAAGAGACACACAGUUUAAAGAGUUACUUUGAGGAGUGACCAAGCAGGAAGUGGAAGGUCUCUAUAUCCAGCAGCACAUAAGGAGAAUGGAGAAACAGGGUCCAGAAGGGGCUCCAUGUGGUCGGGUUCCGGCUCUUCCCACACUUCCUCCCACUGCCCUCCUUCUAGUGCAGGACCCAGGUCUAACAGGUCCUCAGCUCCCAGCUUAAUAUCCCACGUUACCACUGCUCUCCUCCUCCCACGUGUGGCACUCAUUUCUUUCACACUUAAUGACAAUCAUGUUGACUUGGCCCUGGGACCACCUCAUGGAACUAUCUGGGGAGUCAUCGUCCCCUGGCCCAUGCUCCCUGCCUCACUCUUGCCUCAAAUCCCAGAAACCCUCAGACAAUAGAAAGCCCAAGUUGAGGCCUAGGCCCUCAGCCCUUGUCCAUCUAUCAUUAUCUGAACGAUUGCUAUUAAUUUGUGCAUUUGCAGUUUUCAAAGUGCCUCCCUCUUUAUGCUUCCUCUUUUCCUCUUUACCACAACCUGCUGUGAUCGAUGAAGGUAGAAGAUGGAUGGAUGGAUGGAUGGAUGGACAGGUAGGUAGAAAGAAGAAACUGGGGUUCAGAGGAUUUAAAUGGUUUGCCUGUGAUGACACAGCAAGAAAUGGUGGAGUCAGUAUCUGGAAGCAGGUCACCUGCCUUCAGACUCUUCGCCUUAUGCACGACGUCACGGGCAAGUCCAAGGUCAAAGAAGACCGACUGGAAUCUUUGGAGUCUGGGGUGGCCCACUCAGAAACCUUACUGACCAUAUAACCCUGGAGAGAGUGGUGGGUGUUUGCACGUGGUCCUUGUCUGAUGGCUACCAUCUGGGGCCUUCACACUUCAUCCAGGAUCUCUGUCAGACAUUUGGAAAGGACUUACAGCAAGGCGAAAUGAACACGUAAGUGUACUUCCACGUACGUGGGACACAACAGGACAUGAUGAUGUGGAGCUAAGAGAGCUGAGUAUAAACAAACAUUCACAUAAAAAUGGGCAAGUUUUGCUGCGAGUGGUGUUUAGGUCUGGAUAGUUGUACCGGAAAUAAAACUUGGUUGGCUGUCAAAACACCAGUCAUCUAACUUUAGUUUUAUUUUUAAUUAAAGACACUGACUUAGAAACCAAGAGAAAUACUAAACCUGUUUCAACUUACCUCAAAGUGCCCAAAUUUAUAGUUAUUUCUGACUAAGUUGACUUCACCUAUGCUUUUGUGUCAUUUUUUGGAAAACUUUUGAGGAUACCUUUUUUUUUUUUUCCAAGUGCAUUCAGACAUAGUUUAAAAAAAAAACAUUACUCCGACUUUGUAGCUUUAUAUUUUAUUCUUCAAUGUGAGGUAUUUCAUUUGAGACAGCCCUUAAGAAUGUUGUAAAUUUAGUUGGCAUUUAGGGUCACAAAAAUUCAGACACAACUUAGGGACUAAACAGCAACUGAACAACAGAGUGAUUGAUUCCUUAGGACUUUAAGGAGUCGAUCUGUAAGUCAGAAACAGUUGAAUAAUUUUAGUUCACUUAGCACACACAGGACGUCAUUUACUAAAGAAAGGACUGUGGCAUUAUAAACACCCGAAGGUGGCUCUCCAAGACUACCUGGAAUUUCAGGUGUGCACAUGGCCAGGAGUUCAGCAACCUGGAAUUAUUCGACCUGUCCUCGUGGAUUGGCUCCAGCUGUUUCCUUCUGCUGCUGCUGCUGCUGCUAAGUUGCUUCAGUCGUGUCCGACUCUGUGCGACCCCAUAGACAGCAGCCCACCAGGCUCCCCCAUCCCUGCGAUUCUCCAGGCAAGAACACUGGAGUGGGUUGCCAUUUCCCUCUCCAAUGCAUGAAAGUGAAAAAUGAAAGUGAAGUCUGUCAGUCGUGUCCGACUCCUAGCGACCCCACCGACUGCAGCCUACCAGGCUCCUCCAUCCAUGGGAUUUUCCAGGCAAGAGCACUGGAGUGGGGUGCCAUUGCCUUCUCCGGUUUCCUUCUGAGCAUAGCUCAACUUGCUGAGUAGUCAGGCUCAUUGUCAGUGGCCAACGUGCGUAGAUUGUCCAGCAGGGAAGGGUGAAAGAGACCAGUGUAAAUGUCCUCCCCUGGCAUUUGGGGCAGGAAAAUCUAUUUCUGUGAAACUUUGCUGUACAGGAGAAACAGCAUCCAGACCCCUGGUGUCUACAUAUCAAUAAUGCUUCUGCUACUAUUAUUAGGAUGAAUAAAAGUCACCUCUCCCAGAGUUUCAAAUACAAAGGAUCAUUUUAUUUUCAGCUGCCAGUGCUGCAUACAGAGAGGACACAGGGCUCCAGGGAGGUGGAGGGGCUUGCUGAGAUCAUAAUGCAAGUUAUUAAUGGGGUUCCUAUCAGGCUUCCCUGCAUUAUUGGGAGGAAACUGGACCCUGAAAGUAGCCCAGGGUCUGUCAUACUGGAGAGAAUCCAUCCAUUAGGUGAUGGGAAGCUGGUUGGUCAGAAAGCAGUGAAAGGAGUCAUCACAGUGUCCCAUCAAGCCAAAAAUCCUGUGAGAUCCUUCCUCCGGAAUAAGAGCCUGUUUCUCAGCAAGCUUUCUAACAGGAUUUUAACUCUUCUGUGCAGCUGGCCUGAACAUUGAACCAGCAAAUUGAGAACGCACAGUGUUUUGAUCCCGGCGGGUCAGAAACCAUAAACUGCCAUCUAACCCUCAUCCAAGGUAAGGAGCAGCAGCUGUGCUUUGCUGGAGCAGACGUGAAGAGAUAACCCCACGUCCAAGGUAAAGAGAAACCAAGUAAGAUGGUAGGUGUUGCAAGAGGGCAUCAGAGGGCAGACACACUGAAACCAUGCUCACAGAAAACUAGUCAAUCUAAUCACACUAGGACCACAGCCUUGUCUAACUCAAUGAAACCAAGCCAUGCCUGUGGGGCAACCCAAGACAGGCGGGUCAUGGUGGAGAGGUCUGACAGAACGUGGUCCACUGGAGAAGGGAAUGGCAAACCACUUCAGUAUUCUUGCCUUGAGAACCCCAUGAACAGUAUGAAAAGGCAAUAUGAUAGGAUACCAAAAGAGGAACUCCCCAAGUCAUUAGGUGCCCAAUAAGCUACUGGAGAUCAGAGGAGAAAUAACUACAGAAAGAACGAAGGGAUGGAGCCAAAGCAAAAACCAUACCCAGUUGUGGAUGUGACUGGUGAUAGAAGCAAGAUCUGAUGCUAUAAAGAGCAGUAUUGCAUAGGCACCUGGAAUGUCAGGUCCAUGAAUCAAAGCAAAUUGGAAGUGGUCAAACAAGAGAUGGCAAGGGUGAACGUCAACAUUCUAGGAAUCAGCAAACUAAAAUGGACUGGAAUGGGUGAAUUUAACUCAGAUGACCAUUAUAUCUAUUACUGCGGGCAGGAAUCCCUCAGAAGAAAUGGAGUAGCCAUCAUGGUCAACAAAAGAGUCCAAAAAGCAGUACUUGGAUGCAAUCUCAAAAUGACAGAAUGGUCUCUGUUUGCCUCCAAGGCAAACCAUUCAAUAUCACAGUUAUCCAAGUCUAUGCCCCAAGCAGUAAUGCUGAGGAAGCUGAAGUUGAAUGGUUUUAUGAAGACCUACAAGACCUUUUAUAACUAACACCAAAAAAAGAUGUCCUUUUCAUUAUAGGGGACUGGAAUGCAAAAGUAGGAAGUCAAGAAACACUUGGAGUAACAGGCAAGUUUGGCCUUGGAAUGCGGAAUGAAGCAGGGCAAAGACUAAUAGAGUUUUGCCAAGAAAAUGCACUGCUCAUAGCAAACAGCUUCCAACAACACAAGAGAAGACUCUACACAUGGACAUCACCAGAUGGUCAACACCAAAAUCAGAUUGAUUAUAUUCUUUGCAGCCAAACAUGGAGAAGCUCUAUACAGUCAAAAAAACAAGACCAGGAGCUGACUGUGGCUCAGAUCAUGAACUCCUUAUUGCCAAAUUCAGACUUAAAUUGAAGAAAGUACGGAAAACUGCUAGACCAUUCAGGUAUGGCCUAAAUCAAAUCCCUUAUGACUAUACAGUGGAAGUGAGAAAUAGAUUUAAUGGCCGAGAUCUGAUAGAUAGAGUGCCUGAUGAACUAUGGACGGAGGUUCGUGACAUUGUGCAGGAGACAGGGAUCAAGACCAUCUCCAUGGAAAAGAAAUGCAAAAAAGCAAAAUGGCUGUCUGGGGAGGCCUUAAAAAUAGCUGUGAAGAGAAGAGAGGCAAAAGCAAAGGAGAAAAGGAAAGAUAUAAGCAUCUGAAUGCAGAGUUCCAAAGAAUAGCAAGAAGAGAUAAGAAAGCCUUCCUCAGCGAUCAAUGCAAAGAAAUAGAGGAAAACAACAGAAUGGGAAAGACUAGAGAUCUCUUCAAGAAAAUUAGAGAUACCAAGGGAACAUUUCAUGCAAAGAUGGGCUCGAUAAAGGACAGAAAUGGUAUGGAGCUAACAGAAGCAGAAGAUAUUAAGAAGAGGUGACAAGAAUACAUGGAAGAACUUUACAAAAAAGAUCUUCACGACCCAGAUAGUCAUGAUGAUGUGAUCACUAAUCUAGGACCAGACAUCUUGGAAUGUGAAGUCAAAUGGGCCUUAGAAAGCAUCACUAUGAACAAAGCUAGUGGAGGUGAUGGAAUUCCAGUUGAGCUGUUUCAAAUCCUGAAAGAUGAUGCUGUGAAAGAGCUGCACUCAAUAUGCCAGCAAAUUUGGAAAACUCAGCAGUGGCCACAGGACUGGAAAAGGUCAGUUUUCAUUCCAAUCCCAAAGAAAGGCAAUGCCAAAGAAUGGUCAAACUACCACACAAUUGCACUCAUCUCACAUGCUAGUAAAGUAAUGCUCAAAAUUCUCCAAGCCAGACUUCAGCAAUACGUGAACCGUGAACUCCCUGACGUUCAAGCUGGUUUUAGAAAAGGCAGAGGAACCAGAGAUCAAAUUGCCAAUAUCCACUGGAUCAUGAAAAAGCAAGAGCGUUCCAGAAAAACAUCUAUUUCUGCUUUAUUGACUAUGCCAAAGCCUUUGACUGUGUGGAUCACAAUAAACUGUGAAAAUUCUUCUAGGGUGGGAAUACCAGACCACCUGACCUGCCUCUUGAGAAAUCUGUAUGCAGGCCAGGAAGUAACAGUUAGAACUGGACGUGGAACAACAGACUGGUUCCAAAUAGGAAAAGGAGAAUGUCAAGGCUGUAUAUUGUCACCCUGCUUAUUUAACUUCUAUGCAGAGUACAUCAUGAGAAACGCUGGACUGGAAGAAACACAGCUGGAAUCAAGAUUGCCGGGAGAAAUAUCAAUAACCUCAGAUAUGCAGAUGACACCACCCUUAUGGCAGAAAGUGAAGAGGAGCUAAAAAGCCUCUUGAUGAAAGUGAAAGAGGAGAGUGAAAAAGUUUGCCUAAAGCUCAACAUUCAGAAAACGAAGAUCAUGGCAUCCGGUCCCAUCACUCCAUGGGAAAUAGAUGGGGAAACAGUGGAAACAGUGAAAGACUUUAUUUUUGGGGGCUCCAAAAUCACUGCAGAUGGUGACUGCAGCCAUGAAAUUAAAGGACGCUUACUCCUUGGAAGAAAAGUUAUGACCAACCUAGAUAGCAUAUUCAAAAGCAGAGACAUUACUUUGCCGACUAAGGUCCGUCUAGUCAAGGCUAUGGUUUUCCAGUGGUCAUGUAUGGAUGUGAGAGUUGGACUGUGAAGAAGGCUGAGUGCCGAAGAAUUGAUGCUUUUCAACUGUGGUGUUGGAGAAGACUCUUGAGAGUCCCUUGGACUGCAAGGAGAUCCAACUAGUCCAUUCUGAAGGAGAUCAGCCCUGGGAUUUCUUUGAAGGGAAUGAUGCUAAAGCUGAAACUCCAGUACUUUGGCCACCUCAUGUGAAGAGUUGACUCACUGGAAAAGACUCUGAUGCUGGGAGGGAUUGGGGGCAGGAGAGAAGGGGACGACCGAGGAUGAGAUGGCUGGAUGGCAUCACGGACUCGAUGGACAUGAGUCUGAGCGAACUCCAGGAGAUGGUGAUGAACAGGGGGACCUGGCUGCUGCAAUUCAUGGGGUCACAAAGAGUCGGACAUGACUGAUCAACUGAACUGAACUGAACUGAACUGAAAGGGGGAAGAAUGGAAUUAGGCAGGAAAGCUAAAGAGCACCAUGCCUGCCUUCCACCCCUACUGCACGUGGGCAUCUUGCAGUUUGCCUGAGCUGGUUAAGCCUCACUUGGUGUUUUUAUCGUUAGAGACUGGAAAUUAUUUUUAAGUACUUUGUGAGUGAAAGCAAUUCUGGACUUUUUAUUAUUUGAGAGUAAGGUUUUUCAACCUGGGUUGGGAGAAGAACCUCUGUGAAAAUUUCAAAGGGUAGUGGGAGAGGGUGUUGCCUUCUAAUUAUAUUCAUGAGUCAAAAAUAGUGAUUACAUAAACUCAAAAUGGAUUAAAGAUCUAAAUGUAAGAUCAGAAACCAUAAAACUCCUAGAGGAGAACAUAGGCAAAACACUCUCAGACAUAAAUCACAGCAGGAUCCUCUAUGAUCCACCUCCCAGAAUUCUGGAAAUAAAAGCAAAAAUAAACAAAUGGGAUCUAAUUAAAAUUAAAAGCUUCUGCACAACAAAGGAAAAUAUAAGCAAGGUGAAAAGACAGCCUUCUGAA
ensembl:lncRNA